GACGAACGCUGGCGGCGUGCUUAACACAUGCAAGUCGAGCGGGAUCCAACCGGUGGCAACACCGGGGAAGAUCUAGCGGCGAACGGGUGAGUAACACGUGAGCAACCUGCCCCGAAGACUGGGAUAACACCGGGAAACCGGUGCUAAUACCGGAUGUCGUCAUUAGGCCGCAUGACCUGAUGAUGAAAGGAUUCAUCGCUUCGGGAGGGGCUCGCGGGCUAUCAGCUUGNGGUGGGGUAACGGCCUACCAAGGCGACGACGGCUAGCUGGUCUGAGAGGACGACCAGCCACACUGGGACUGAGACACGGGCCCAGACUCCUACGGGAGGCAGCAGUGGGGAAUCUUGCGCAAUGGGCGAAAGCCUGACGCAGCAA
rnacentral:rRNA from 1 species